rnacentral:tRNA from 1 species
AAGUUUGAAUCAAUUAAUUGUAAUCAGUUUCGACCUGAUAUUUAAGUUUAAUUAAAUUAAACUCUAACUUA